CCCCUAGAUGUUCUGGGCCGCACGCGCGCUACACUGAUUCAUGCAACAAGUUUUGUCCUUGGCUGAUAGGCCUGGGUAAUCUUUGAACGUGAAUCGUGAUGGGGAUAGAUGAUUGCAAUUAUUCAUCUUCAACGAGGAAUUCCUAGUAAACGCAAGUCAUCAGCUUGCAUUGAUUACGUCCCUGCCCUUUGUACACACCGCCCGUCGCACCUACCGAUUGAAUGGUCCGGUGAAAUCUUCGGAUCUGAGAGAUGUCUGAUUAAUUUCGGACGCCUUUUGGAAAAGUUGCUUAAACCUUACCAUUUAGAGGAAGGUGAANUCGUANCA
rnacentral:rRNA from 1 species